CCUACGGGGGGUAGCAGUGGGGAAUAUUGGACAAUGGGCGAAAGCCUGAUCCAGCCAUGCCGCGUGUGUGAAGAAGGCCUUCGGGUUGUAAAGCACUUUCAGUGGGGAAGAAAGCCUUGGGGCUAAUACCCUCGAGGAAGGACAUCACCCACAGAAGAAGCACCGGCUAACUCCGUGCCAGCAGCCGCGGUAAUACGGAGGGUGCGAGCGUUAAUCGGAAUUACUGGGCGUAAAGCGCGCGUAGGCGGUCUGAUAAGCCGGUUGUGAAAGCCCCGGGCGCAACCUGGGAACGGCAUCCGGAACUGUCAGGCUAGAGUGCAGGAGAGGAAGGUAGAAUUCCCGGUGUAGCGGUGAAAUGCGUAGAGAUCGGGAGGAAUACCAGUGGCGAAGGUGGCCUUCUGGACUGACACUGACGCUGAGGUGCGAAAGCGUGGGUAGCAAACAGGAUUAGAUACCCCAGUAGUC
rnacentral:rRNA from 1 species